rnacentral:lncRNA from 1 species
CAGGACAUUAGGACACCAGACGUUUCAGUAGAGCAAGGCUGCAGGCCUCGCAGGGCAGCCGGGCAUCAGGCGUCUCAAGUCAGUCGGGGAGCAAGCCUUAUAGGGCAGCUGGACAGCAGGCCUCUCAGGGCAGCAAGGCUGCAGGCCUCGCAGGGCAGCAAGGCUGCAGGCCUCGCAGGGCAGCGGGGCAUCAGGCGUCUCAGGUCAGCUGGGCAGCAGGCCUCUCAGGGCAGCAGGGCUGCAAGUCUCACAGGGCAGCAGGGCUAUAGGCCUCGUAGGGCAGCAGGGCAGAGGCCUCACAAGGCAGCAGGGCAGCAAGGCUACAGGCCUUGCAGGGCAGUAGGGCACCAGGCAUCUCAGUGCAGCAAGGCAACUGGGCAGCGGGCCUCACUUGGCAGCAGGGCAGCAGAGCCAGAAGCCUUGCAGGACAAGAGGACAGCAGGACUCACAUGGCAGCACCCAGCAUGGCUGCAGGCCACUCAGGGCAACUGGGCUGCUGGCGUCUCAGGUCAGCAGAGAAGCAGGCCUCACAGGGCAGCAGGGCAGCAGACCUCUCAGGGCAGCAGCGCUACAGGCCUCGCAGGGCAGCAGGGCAGCAGACCUCUCAGGGCAGCAGCGCUACAGGCCUCGCAGGGCAGCAGGGCAGCAGUACUCUCAGGGCAGCAGGACUGCAAGCCUUGCAGGGCAGCAGGGCAGCAGGCCUCACAUGACAGCAGGGCAGUAGGGCUGCAGGCCUCGCAGGGCAGCAGGGCAACAGGCAUCACAUGGGAGCAGGGCAGCUGGGCUGCAAGCAUCGAAGGGCAGCAGAGCAGCAGGUGUCUCAGGGCAGCUGGGUUGCAGGCCUUGCAUGGCAUCAGGGCAGAGGCCUCACAUGGCAACAGGGCUAUAGCCCUCACAGGGCAGCAGGGCUGCAGGCCUUGUAGGACACCCGGGCAGAGGCUUCACAUGGCAGCAGUGCUGCAGGCAUCGCAGGGAAACAGGGCAGGAGGCGUCUCAGGUCAGCCGGGCAGCAGGCCUCUCAGGGCAGCAGGGCUGCAAGGUUCACAGGGCAACAGGGCUAUAGGCCUCGCAGGGCAGCAGGGCAGAGGCCUCACAAGGCAGCAGGGCAGCAAGGCUGCAGGCCUCGCCAGGCAGGAGGGCACCAGGCGUCUCAGUGCAGCAAGGCAACCGGGCAGCAGGCCUCACUUGGCAGCAGGGCAGCAGAGCCACAAGCCUUGCAGGACAAGAGGGGAGCAGGACUCACAUGGCAGCACCCAGCAUGGCUGCAGGCCACUCAGGGCAACAGGGCUCAGGCGUCUCAGGGCAGCAGCGCUGCAGGCCUCACAGGGCAGCAGGGCAGCAGGCGUCUCAGAGCAGCAGGGCAGCAGGCCUCUCAGGGCAGCAGUGUAGCAGGCCUCACAUGACAGCAGUGCAGCAGGGCUUUUAGGGCAGCAGGGCGGCAGGGCUUGCAGGACAGC